rnacentral:pre_miRNA from 1 species
CAUGUGCACCAUACAAGCUGGUGAAGCUGCCAGCAUGAUCUGAUCUGACCAUAUAUCUAGAUUGGCAUGGAUGGAUAUGUGAUAUGAUCUGAUCAGGUCAUGCUGGAGUUUCAUCUGCUGGUUGGG